AGCGGGAAAAGCUCAAAUUUAAAAUCUGGCAGAUGUUUGUCUGUCCGAGUUGUAACCUAGAGAAGUGUAACCUGUGCUGGACCGUGUACAAGUCUCCUGGAAUGGAGCAUCAUAGAGGGUGAGAAUCCCGUCUUUGACAUGGACUACCAGUGCACUGUGGUUGUGCACUCAACGAGUCGAGUUGUUUGGGAAUGCAGCUCUAAAUGGGUGGUAAAUUCCAUCUAAAGCUAAAUAUUGGCGAGAGACCGAUAGCGAACAAGUACCGUGAGGGAAAGAUGAAAAGAACUUUGGAAAGAGAGUUAAACAGUAUGUGAAAUUGUUGAAAGGGAAACGCUUGAAGUCAGCUGCAUUGGCUGGGGAUCAAGCCAGCUUAUUUGCUGGUUGUACUUCCUGGUUGAUGGGCCAACAUCAGUUUUGACCAUCAGAGAAAGGCCAAGGGAAUGUGGCACCUUUAUAGGUGUGUUAUAGCCCUUGGUUGUAUGUGGUGGUUGGGACUGAGGA
rnacentral:rRNA from 1 species